AUCCAGCUGACGAGUUCCAAGUAGGACGAAACGCGCGUCCUGGAU
rfam:Schistosoma rodhaini strain Burundi genome assembly, scaffold: SROB_scaffold0007031